UACGGAGGGUGCAAGCGUUAUCCGGAUUCACUGGGUUUAAAGGGCGCGUAGGUGGGUCUGUAAGUCCGUGGUGAAAUCUCCGAGCUUAACUUGGAAACUGCCAUGGAUACUAUAGGUCUUGAAUACUGUGGAGGUCAGCGGAAUAUGUCAUGUAGCGGUGAAAUGCUUAGAUAUGACAUAGAACACCAAUUGCGAAGGCAGCUGGCUACACAAAUAUUGACACUGAGGCACGAAAGCGUGGGGAUCAAACAGG
rnacentral:rRNA from 1 species